GACGAACGCUGGCGGCGUGCUUAACACAUGCAAGUCGAACGGAAAGGCGCUGCUUUUGUGGGGUGCUCGAGUGGCGAACGGAUGAGUAACACGUGAGUAACCUGCCCUUGACUUUGGGAUAACUUCAGGAAACUGGGGCUAAUACAGGAUAGGAGCUCCUGCUGCUUGGUGGGGGUUGGACAGUUUCGGCGGUUGGGGAUGGACUCGCGGCUUAUCAGCUUGUUGGUGGGGUAGUGGCUUACCAAGGCUUUGACGGGUAGCCGGCCUGAGAGGGUUACCGGCCACAUUGGGACUGAGAUACGGCCCAGACGCCGACGGGAGGCAGCAGUGGGGAAUAUUGCACAAUGGGCGGAAGCCUGAUGCAGCAACGCCGCGUGCGGGAUGACGGCCUUCGGGUUGUAAACCGCUUUCGCCUGUGACGAAGCGUGAGUGACGGUAAUGGGUAAAGAAGCACCGGCUAACUACGUG
rnacentral:rRNA from 1 species